UCCUACCCCUACCUAGAUGUUGGUGUUGGAUUACAGCAGGACCAACCAACAUAAGUCCUCACAAGUGUCUUGUAGGGACCCUUUUCCAAAUGCUGCCAGGUUUUGGACUGGAGUUGAUCCACCAUAUACAGUUCACCUCUCUGGCUGGGAACCAUUAUCCUACCACUACCUAGAUGUUGGUGUUGGAUUACAGCAGGACCAACCAACAUAAGUCCUCACAAGUGUCUUGUAGGGACCCUUUUCCAAAUGCUGCCAGGUUUUGGACUGGAGUUGGCUCACCACGUUACAUUCUCCUUCCUACCACUACCUGGAUGUUGGUGUUGGAUUACAGCAGGACCAACCAACAUAAGUCCUCACAAGUGUCUUGUAGGGACCCAUUUCCAAAUGCUGCCAGGUUUUGGACUGGAGUUGGCUCACCACGUUACAUUCUCCUUCCUACCAUCAGCUGGAUGUUGGGUUCCAUUGUGGCCUGGUGUUGAUUAUGUACUGGGUCUGCACGAGCAUGCUUUGGCUAGGAUGAAAAGAUGGAAGCUAUUUUUUCUUCUGCUUCCUAGUCUUGAGGUGAAGACUGUAGGGACCCACCAAAUAUGGUCUAAUGCACCCUAGCCACCCUACACCAUUGGACGUGUCCAAUUAUGCAUUGGAUGUGCAUCUUUUCUGCCUGAUUUAGCAAUGUAUAUCUUCACAGCGGGCAAAGAAUGUACUUGGUACAGAUGUGGUGUAGUCUCCUUCGAGUAUGUCCCCCCCCCCUACAUUGAUGUUUCACACUCCACGGGCUUGCUUCGGAUGCUUUCCACGGGGUGCUCAUCCAGCUAUAUCUUUCCACUGGUCCCUCUACCAGUUCACUGUGGGAUUCUAUCUAUAAUGUGAACAGAAGUAAGGUAAAGGUAUUGUGUUGGAAGUUAUAAUUUUCCUUCACUGAAAAUUUAUUUCUGAUAGAUACCUCCGCUCAUACUUUCCACUUCCAGUGCUUCUUUUUUGCCUAAUCUUGAAGUGAAUAUUGGGUUCUACUGUAGAGAGGGAGUCUGCCACACCAGAUGGGUUUGUCACACUCCUGUUGGUGGAGAGUUGUCGCAUGCUUACUUGCAUGUUACGGCACAGCUGUACCACGCGUAAACACGUGGGAGUAUUCGGGCUUAUGGCAAGCAAAAACUGCAAAUAGAAGGCAGCACUGACUGAGAAAAGCUAUUAUACGAGAGGAGGUAGCUAUAUAUCAGAAAUACAGUUUCAGUAUAAACAAAUUAUAACUUCUUCCUGUUUAUUUUCAAAGUAGUAUUUUUCCAAGAAUUUUGUAAUUUCUAGGUACUGCAAAGAAUUAUUAUUAUCCUUAUUUUUCUUUAAUUUAACUGCAUGUAACUGUCUGAAUGUUUGAUUACCUUUUGGUUUUGUGUGUGUGUUUGUGUUUGUGUAAAUAAUACUUGAAUUAAACUAAGAUUAGUGUUUCAAUUAUUUGCAAUUGUAACUUGUUAAUAUAAUGUUUUUCCUGUGGUGGAUGUGAUUUAACUUAGAUAAAUAAAAUUAAUUUUAACCACUUUCUAUUUUAAACAGUUUUUAUGUAUAAGAGUCUUAUUAAACUACUUUGUGGAGGAAAACCAGUAAAGUUGGACAUUAAUAGUGUACAUAUGGUUUAUAAAGUAUUCCAUUUGGAUAGACUGUCUUACAGAAAGAAUUAAUGAAGCUACUGACUUAUACUUGUUCAAGUAUGCAGGCUAGGUUUAUCAGAAUGUUGGGGAAGGGUGCAUUAAAGAUGAAGAAACAUAAUUUAUUGUGGGCCCUCUGGUACUCGGAGUGAAUAUUAACUUUAAAAGACACAUGAGUAUAACCCUAAUAAAUUCUUAAACCCAUUGCUGGUAUUGAAAUAAAAAGUAUGUUUUUGUAAGUACAAUAAAAGCUUUAUUAUCUGGCAACCAAGAUGGUGCUGGUUAAUCCAAUGUCAACUAACAUUGGUACUAAAGAGAUUAUAUCUGCAAUAUUUCAACAGUACUGAUAAUGAUAACAAUGUUAAGCAAUAAUAAACAUGAACAUUAUUGAAGGUGUUCAUUAGAAUGAACGGAAGUGAAUAAAACGAUGUGAUUGGCAUUUGUUGUUAUUCUUCAAAACUACUCAUGUUAUUACUUUAUAAUCAUUAAUGUAACAUAAACGUUAUUAUUUACUUUUUUUACUUCACUAGACAUUCCAAAUUGCCACUUUAUAAACUGACUGUAUAGGGAAGAUAUUAAAUUCUGGUUAGUCGAGUCUUCUAUUUAAUACUGGAUAAUCCAGCUUUUAUUGUACUUGAUUAAGAUGAUUCAUACCAUUAGAUCUACUAAUGCGAUGAAAUAUAUUUGUGAUAAGAGAUGAAAAACAUUGUUGUUGUCUCAGUCUUUCUCUGCUUGAAUCAUGCAAAUUAACUGUUAAAUGUUAGAACCAUAACCUUCAGGUUCUGGAAUGUUUUUCAGUGGGUUGUAUCAUGUUGUACUUGAUGGAACGAAUCUUACUGGAACAGAUGUUUAUCUUAUGAUUGAAAUAUUCCAUUAACCCUUUCCUGCCAUAGUUUGCUAUGUAAGGCUAAUUUAUGCUACUUGGUUAUCAGUGGUAGGAGGUGUAAUAAGCUUGCAGAAGAAGUAAACUCAACAUUGAAUAAGCUGGAAUGUAACUGUUGAAACAAAAUUUGUAACCCAAUAUUUUCUUUCUUACGAAUAUUAUUUGUACAGACACUUUUUCUGGAGUUAGGGAUUCGUUUUUUAUGUUUAUUAAACACAGAAAUAAAUUGUUUUAUUAAAAGUUUCAACUGUUAAACUGGUAAGUUUUUUUUGUUUUUUUAAACUUUACACUAUUUUAAGAGUUGUUUUGUACGUACAAACUUUUUAUCAGUUACUGUUGGCUAAUUCUCGUAUGUUUGAUUCUUAUUAUUUGUUCUGAAAUUAAUUGACAGCUGAAUUAACCUGUUUUUUUUAACUUGGUAAAUUUUCAAAGUCACUUGGUUAAAAGAAAUGUCUUAAUAAUAUUUUAGCCAAUUAAAUAUUUACUGUGAAUACAAAAGACAAGAAGUACGUGUCAGGUCAGAUUUAUUGAGUGCAUAAUUGUUAAUAUUAGUGAUUUAAAUACUUUUUACACCUCUUAUCAUUUGUGUAAUCGUUUUGCUUUGAGUUGCAGACAACAAAAGUAGGAAAGAGUUAAUAUUUGCAAUAAAAAGUUAUUGUGCUUAAUUUGCUCGGAUCUUUGCUUUUUUUGGGGGUUUUCAACUUCCUGUAACGUUUAGUCUUAGAUCUGCCUGGUUCUCUCUUGGAACUUUCGGGCAUUAUAUGUGUCCAUAAUAAUCUUUAAUGUUCCUUUUGUUGAACUUUCUAUUGCAAUGGAGAAAAAGUGAUACAAGUCUGUAGUUUUUAACUUAAAUCCUAUAGAUAUUUGUUUGUUCAAUAGUAUUAACAAACUAUUUUUACCUUUCAGUUAGAGCAGGUGAUUCUUUUGUUACUGAUUGCAGCACAGGGCUUGUGGUAAAUAAAACUAAGUUUUCUCUAAACCUGCAGAUAUUAUCUCAAAUUUUAAAUUUAUUAACAUCACUAUUUCAUAAGCAAAACAUUGGAUAGUUGAGGUGAGUUAAGAAAACUAAAUCAAGAGAAACAACAAGCCCUGUGAAAUAUUUCUCUGUUUUAUGUUUUCCUUAUCUGACUCUUUUCGUGAGGUUUACGUUCUGUGUGUUAUCUUGAGUUACUGGUGAUAUUAUGUUGUCUAAAAUACAGAAUAUUUUUCAGUAAAAGUCAACUUAGAAGUAACAUUAUCCUUCAAUUUAAUAGUUUUGGUAAAAGUAAACAAAAAUAGAAACUGUUUUUUUAUUGCAAUGGAAAUAAACAUUUGAGAUGUUCUUCUAGUUUUGUACAUAGAUAAACUAAACUUUUGUUCAGGAUAUAUUGUUAUUUAGGUCUAUCUCUUAAGUAUUAAUUGAUUCCCUUAAGUAAGCAUUUCAUUAUUCACGUAAAUACCAGUCACUGACAUUAUAGUUAAUAAUUACUAAGUAUUAGUGUUUACAUGAUCACAAUCUGAUACAUUUUAUCUUUGGAAUCAUAAUAUACAGAACGGAUAAGAAUGUGGACUUUUAAUUAACAGAUAUAAUAAAAUAAAUUUCAGGUUAGUAUCAAGUUGGAAAGUAAGUAUUACAUUACAUUGAAAUGGCAUACUUAAGGGUGAUCAAGAUAUCCUUUGUACUUUCAGGAAUUACCUUGUAACUUCAAUAAAGAUUAUUCUUUUAUAACAAAAA